AUGACUCAGAACGAACGCUGGCGGCGCGUUUAAGCAUGCAAGUCGAGCGGCAAGGGCCUUCGGGCCCCUAGAGCGGCGGACGGGUGAGUAACACGUGGACAAUCUGCCCCCCGGCCCGGGAUAGCCCAGGGAAACCUGGAUUAAUACCGGAUGAGACGGGACCCGCGAUGGCGGGACCCGGGAAAGGCGCUGCGGCGCCGCCGGGGGAUGAGUCUGCGUCCCAUUAGCUAGACGGCGGGGUAACGGCCCACCGUGGCGACGAUGGGUAGCCGGCCUGAGAGGGUGGACGGCCACAUUGGAACUGAGACACGGUCCAGACUCCUACGGGAGGCAGCAGCUAAGAAUCUUCCGCAAUGGGCGAAAGCCUGACGGAGCCGACGCCGCGUGAACGAAGAAGGCCGUGAGGUUGUAAAGUUCUUUUCGGGAGGGGAACAACCGUGGCAGGGAAUGGCCGCGGGAUGACGUGAAUCCCGGAAUAAGCCCCGGCUAACUACGUGCCAGCCGCCGC
rnacentral:rRNA from 1 species